CGUACGCACUGGCCCACUGAUUGAUGGUGCUUGCACCUGAUUGACGAUGGAUCACCAGUGAGUGGCGGACGGGUGAGUAACACGUAGGUAACCUGCCCCGGAGCGGGGGAUAACAUUUGGAAACAGAUGCUAAUACCGCAUAACAACAAAAGCUGCAUGGCUUUUGUUUGAAAGAUGGCUUUGGCUAUCACUCUGGGAUGGACCUGCGGUGCAUUAGCUAGUUGGUAAGGUAACGGCUUACCAAGGCGAUGAUGCAUAGCCGAGUUGAGAGACUGAUCGGCCACAAUGGAACUGAGACACGGUCCAUACUCCUACGGGAGGCAGCAGUAGGGAAUCUUCCACAAUGGGCGCAAGCCUGAUGGAGCAACACCGCGUGAGUGAAGAAGGGUUUCGGCUCGUAAAGCUCUGUUGUUGGAGAAGAACGUGCGUGAGAGUAACUGUUCACGCAGUGACGGUAUCCAACCAGAAAGUCACGGCUAACUACGUGCCAGCAGCCGCGGUAAUACGUAGGUGGCAAGCGUUAUCCGGAUUUAUUGGGCGUAAAGCGAGCGCAGGCGGUUGCUUAGGUCUGAUGUGAAAGCCUUCGGCUUAACCGAAGAAGUGCAUCGGAAACCGGGCGACUUGAGUGCAGAAGAGGACAGUGGAACUCCAUGUGUAGCGGUGGAAUGCGUAGAUAUAUGGAAGAACACCAGUGGCGAAGGCGGCUGUCUGGUCUGCAACUGACGCUGAGGCUCGAAAGCAUGGGUAGCGAACAGGAUUAGAUACCCUGGUAGUCCAUGCC
rnacentral:rRNA from 1 species